rnacentral:rRNA from 1 species
UCGAUGAAGAACGCAGCGAAAUGCGAUAAGUAAUGUGAAUUGCAGAAUUCAGUGAAUCAUCGAAUCUUUGAACGCACCUUGCGCUCCUUGGUAUUCCGAGGAGCAUGCCUGUUUGAGUGUCAUUAAAUUCUCAAUCCUUUCUGGGUUUAUUCUCAGCUAGGCUUGGAUAUGGGGGUUUUGCUGGCUUUGUACAGACAAAGUCAGCUCUCCUGAAAAACAUUAGCAAGACUGUUGUUGCAACCUUCUAUCUGGUGUGAUAAUUAUCUACAUCAUAGAUUGUAUGCAGUUUAUUAUGUCUGGCUUCUAACAGUCCAUUGAAUUGGACAAAACCUAUGACAAUUUGACCUCAAAUCAGGUAGGACUACCCGCUGAACUUAAGCAUAUCAAUAAGCGGAGGAAAAGAAACUAACAAGGAUUCCCCUAGUAACUGCGAGUGAAGCGGGAAA